GAUGAACGCUGGCGGCGUGCUUAACACAUGCAAGUCGAACGGAAAGGCCCUGCUUGCAGGGUACUCGAGUGGCGAACGGGUGAGUAACACGUGGGUGAUCUGCCCUGUACUUUGGGAUAAGCCUGGGAAACUGGGUCUAAUACCGAAUAUGACAAUUGUUUGGAUGCGAUUGUGGAAAGCUUUUGCGGUUUGGGGUGAGCUGGCGGCCUAUCAGCUUGUUGGUGGGGUAAUGGCCUACCAAGGCGUCGACGGGUAGCCGGCCUGGGAGGGUGUACGGCCAAACUGGGGCCUGAGAUAGGCCCAAGCCCCCACGGGGGGGCAGAGGGGGGAAAUUUUGAAAAGGGGGCGGAGGCCGGUGCAGGAACGCCGGGGGGGGGAAGGAGGGCUUGGGGUGGGAAAACCGUUUCAGACCGGGAAAAACCUUUUGGGACGGUAAGGUGUAAAGAAGCCCCGGCUAACUUCGGG
rnacentral:rRNA from 1 species